rnacentral:lncRNA from 1 species
UUUGGCCUGAAUUAAGAAGAAAGGGGAAUUUGUGAGCAUCUAUAAACACAGGCAUCCAGAAAAUUUGUGUUCUUCUCUUAACCUGUUUAUGGCAGUUGCUUAUUGUGUUUACAGCACUGCCUGCUGAUUUGGGACUGCUUCAUCCUAGUGCUUGCAGUCACUAGCACCCACUUGCAAAAGUGAGGUCUGCUGCUCUCCAUUUUAUUCUGACAGACACAGCGGUGCCACUCACCAAUGCAGAUCAGAGAACACAGAUGAAGCUGGUGCAGUGUGUAUUUAUAUGCUAUUAACUCGAGAAGAGGAAAGAAGCAGAACAGUUGGGAGCUUCAAGACCUAUUAGCUGCUGGGACAGCCACUGUCUUCCAAAAGACACCACAAUAUGCUGCUAUUUAGCGUACCCAAAUGUCCAAACUAUGAAAACAAUUUAUUAGAAACUUCAUUAAACUGACAAAUAAUCAGCUGCA